AUGAACGCUGGCGGCGUGCCUAAUACAUGCAAGUCGAGCGAACGGACGAGAAGCUUGCUUCUCCGAUGUUAGCGGCGGACGGGUGAGUAACACGUGGAUAACCUACCUAUAAGACUGGGAUAACUUCGGGAAACCGGAGCUAAUACCGGAUAAUAUUUUGAACCGCAUGGUUCAAAAGUGAAAGACGGUCUUGCUGUCACUUAUAGAUGGAUCCGCGCUGCAUUAGCUAGUUGGUAAGGUAACGGCUUACCAAGGCAACGAUGCAUAGCCGACCUGAGAGGGUGAUCGGCCACACUGGAACUGAGACACGGUCCAGACUCCUACGGGAGGCAGCAGUAGGGAAUCUUCCGCAAUGGGCGAAAGCCUGACGGAGCAACGCCGCGUGAGUGAUGAAGGUCUUCGGAUCGUAAAACUCUGUUAUUAGGGAAGAACAUAUGUGUAAGUAACUGUGCACAUCUUGACGGUACCUAAUCAGAAAGCCACGGCUAACUACGUG
rnacentral:rRNA from 1 species